rnacentral:rRNA from 1 species
UACGUAGGGGGCUAGCGUUGUCCGGAAUUAUUGGGCGUAAAGAGCUUGUAGGUGGUUUGUCGCGUCUGCUGUGAAAUCCGGGGCUCAACCCGGACUUGCAGUGGGUACGGGCAGACUAGAGUGUGGUAGGGGAGACUGGAAUUCCUGGUGUAGCGGUGAAUGCGCAGAUAUCAGGAGGAACACCGAUGGCGAAGGCAGGUCUCUGGGCCACUACUGACGCUGAGAAGCGAAAGCAUGGGGAGCGAACAGG